rnacentral:rRNA from 1 species
UACGAAGGGGGCUAGCGUUGUUCGGAAUUACUGGGCGUAAAGCGUGCGCAGGCGGUCUUCUCAAGUCAGGGGUGAAAGCCCAGACGCUCAACUCUGGAAUUGCCUUUGAGACUGAGUGGCUUGAGUACGAGGAGAGGUGAGUGGGAAUUCCCAGUGUAGAGGUGAAAUUCGUAGAUAAUUGGGAAGAACACCGGGUGGCGAAGGCGGCUCACUGGCUCGUAACUGACGCUCAUGCACGACAGCGUGGGGAUCAAACAGG